UUCCAAAAAUGUCAAUUUUUUUUUUUUUUUUACGUUUUUGUUUGUCACCGUUUUGUAACGAUACCAUUCGGCCCGAUUCGGAAAGUGACCAACAACGAAUAGCCUGGCCGUCUCCGACUUCCCUGCCCUCACUCCCCUUCAGAGCUGGAAAAGCCCAAUCAAUCAUCUGACAGGGAGGGAAGAGGCGAAGCACCACCGACUUCCCAAGAUGCUGGCACUAAAAAACCGGCUUUUAGACUGGUUCAAGUCUUUAUUUUGGAAGGAAGAGAUGGAGCUGACCCUGGUCGGCCUCCAGUAUUCGGGAAAAACGACGUUCGUCAACGUAAUUGCCGUAAGUCUUACCUGCCAGCGAUAGCUAACUAGCCUAAUGCUAAUAGCAUUGGAGCUAAUGAUGGGAGAACGAUGAGGAAGAAGUCGCUGCUUUACUCUGUGUUUUCGUGGAUCAAACGUCAUGGAAUAUUAAACCACUGCGGUCCUACCCCCACAAUAUAUGAAUUUAAUCUGACGAAACCCUAAUUGGAGUGAUGGUUGAUGAGAUGAAGAGGCUGCUGAGGAAGCUGAUGUCCAAAUUUGUGCAAAUGGAUGUGAUCAGGAAAGCUGAGGAUAUCCUAGAUGUUGAUUACAGGAACAAGGAGAACUGGCAUGACACAGGCAACAUAGCAGUAUCACAUGAUGCCAGACAAUACAUGGAGCAAGUUGAAGACUAUCUCUGAUGCCACCAAAAAGAGGUUCUUUGACAGUGUAGUUAAUUUUUACACAAGUGUUGUGACCAAAAUGAACUUGAAAAAAAAUGGUUGCAUUUUGUCUUAGCGAUUGUCGCGCGCGCGCGUGUCAUUGGGGUUGGCAAACAGAAAUCUCCCUAAUUGCAAUUUCUACAACUUAACAGGUAUGGGACUAUGCAACACUAACAUGCUAGACUGUGCGUCCCGGGCUG